GUGUUUGUUUGAUAGCACAUUUACCAAAAUUGGAAUAAUAGAAAAUUAUCAGCUUGGCCCCUGUGCAAGAAUGACAUGCAAAUUCAUGAAGCGUUUCAUCUUUAA
ensembl:snRNA U6 U6 spliceosomal RNA